UACGUAGGGUGCAAGCGUUAAUCGGAAUUACUGGGCGUAAAGCGUGCGCAGGCGGUUUGUAAGACAGGCGUGAAAUCCCCGGGCUCAACCUGGGAAUUGCGCUUGUGACUGCAAGGCUGGGGUGGCGGCAGAGGGGAUGGAAUUCCGGCGUGUAGCAGUGAAAUGCGUAGAUAUGCGGAGGAACACCGAUGGCGAAGGCAAUCCCCUGGGCCUGCACUGACGCUCAUGCACGAAAGCGUGGGGAGCAAACAGG
rnacentral:rRNA from 1 species